CGACUUUCUAUCCUUUUCGCAUCAAUGAGAUCAUUUUUAUUUCGGCUAUUUUUAGCUACCACCCGCUAUAUUUUUGAUGUUGAAGUUUAAUAUGCUGAUCAACUUUUACUAAUUGGUAAUCAGAAAAAUUGUUUAUUUUCGACUAAUCCAGCAAGCUUUCUCAUUGAAGCUGUAAUUCCUAAACUUGGAAAAUCUCAUUGGCUAGAUCUACUUAUGUUUCAAGUAUUAAUAUUCAACCACUGUAGAGAUUCGAACAUGCCUCUUUUUGACUAUUAAUAUAAUGAUUCCAAACUUUUUUAAGUUUUACUGUGAAAUUUGGUAAUUUUGCAUCAUAGGAAUAGUUGUUAACGACUUCCCCACUGGCACUACUCUGCUUUUAAUAUUUAUUUAGUUGAAAAUAUUUAAUACUUUACAUGUCCGAAAAUAAAAUCUAAAUUUCCAAAAAAGAUUACUGUUUCCGCCUAAUUUUUGUUUUCAAAACCUCCGUACGUUAUUCAAAUGUAUCAAAAUUUUUUCAGUUAUUUCCGACCAACAUCCGUUUAAGUUUUGUGAUUUGAAUGAUUUUUGAGGUUAAUUUUAACUUUUCAGACCCAUUCACCGAUGAAAUUAAAAACUUAACCUAAUUUUAUAAUUGUUAAUUUCUACUUAAAUUAAUAGGGGUUAGAGGUUUAAAAAAACUGAAAAAAAAUUUUACAAUUUACCGGAAAUAGUUAAGAAUUGUCCUUUGUGGCCACCUGUCUAUCAUCCAUCAAACACUCAUUGCCAGUGCAUCUGAUCAUGUAAUCGGACACCUUUUGCCUCUCUCAAACUUUUUUCCAUCUUUUACAUUUAUUUUUAUUUUAACUCGAAACCUUUUUUCUUUUUCUGGGACACCUGUUAUCACGCAAAUUGUGUUCUAAAAUUCUUUAAAUGAUCUUUUGUGCGAUUGAAACCAUGCUCAUCUGUUUUUCAUAGUCAGAUUUUUCUUUUAAUUUUUUGUAAAAAAAAAGCACAAUCAUAUUACGCCCAUUUUAAAAUUCCGUAUCACGGGCCUUAAGGAGGAGUCGCCUUUUUCCUCCUCUUCAGUCACCCUCUUCGCGCCCUGGUUACUAAAUACUGUCCAAUUUUUGAGCAAAUUAUGAUUUCUUUGGAGACAGUUCCCAAUUGGGAUUGGAUCCAAUGAGAUGGACAAGAGAAUAUGCUUGCUCUUUUUACUUUCCUCUACUUCAAGACAAUUUCCUGAAACUAUAUAUUUGAAAGUAAAUAGAAUUAGAGAGCAGUUUUUGUUUUCGAAAACUGUGUUUACUUAAGGUUUUGGCCAUGUCCCUUGCUGUCGAAAAUUUUCAGGCUAGGGAAACAUAUAGCAAGAUUGAACAAAUCUUAUAAAAAACAAAGAAUAAAUUUUUAUUACACUCAAAAUCGAAAAGAUAAACACUUGUUAAUCACUGGAUGAAAUGAUUACUGAUAAUUUUAUUGAUUUAAUCCACUCGCCCAAUUUAAUUUUUUAUUUUCUCAAUAUUAGCGGCAUUAUUAUUUUUCAGUCAAAAUAUAAAAUCUAAAUUUUGACAAGCUGUUGAUUAAUAACAACGAGAUUAUAAUUUCAAUCUAUUCUUGGAGAAAUAUUUCUCAAAAGGGGCGGUGUCUCGGUAUUGGGGAAAGAAAUUAAUUUUCUCAAUGCUCACGAUUUAUAGCUUUUCUUGCUCAUUUUUUAUUGUUGUCCCACAACUUUUCCAAUGAGACUGAGAAAUUAAUCUUGUUCAUUCAUUCUGCAUGAAAUAAAUUUUAGAAGACAAUGUGUUUUUGUUUUUCUUGAUUUUCUUGCCAUUGUGAAAGUUUGUGUGAAGAGAAAAAAAAAUACCAGAAAAACAAAUUCUUUAAAAUCGAAUUUUACACAAAAUGUUAUCAUUUAUUUAAAAAAAAACUAUAGAAGUUAAAUUUUUUUUUUUGGUGUCGCGAAUACGCAGAAUACUGAUAUUCCGCCGAUCACGACUUAAGAAAUGAUAUUAAUACCCAGGAAAUGCGUCAAGGAAAUAUUAAAGAAUUAUUAUGAUUAUUACGAAGUCCAUCCGUAUUCUAAAUGCUCACUACAAUCCACCGAAGUCAUCAACAACGACAAAGCCGGGAAACUCCUGUUUGAAAGCCGCGCCAAAAGACACACACGUCACGAGUGUUACAGUACUACCACACAUGCACAUCAAACCCCAACACGUCGACACCGCGCAAGGAAAUCGUCACUUCUUCGUUUUACUCUCGGACCGGCAGGUCGCACGUUAAAUAUAUGAGCUUUAUCAUUUUUAUCAUUCAACGGAUUUAUUAGUAAUAAAUUAUAUAAUUCUACCACUUUUGAACC
ensembl:ncRNA F42A9.18 ncRNA